rnacentral:rRNA from 1 species
UAAAAAAUUUUGGCGGUAUUUUAAGCUUAUUAGAGGAAUUUGCUCUGUGAUGGACACAACGCCUUAAUCUUACUUAAUUUAGUAAUUUAAAUCAGUUUGUAUACCACUAUAUUAAUUAUAUUGAAUAGUUAUAUUUAAAAUUUUUUUAAAAAAAAUAUAUUAAGUCAAGGUGCAUCUAAUAAUUAUGAAUGAAGUGAAUUACAUUAAUUUUAAUGUAAUUUUUUACAUGAAAAAAUUAAUUAGGAUUUAAUAGUAAAAUACUAAUAUUAUGAGUAUUUGAAUCAAGCUCUAAAAUAUGCACAUAUCGCCCGUCGCUCUCAGAAGUGAGAUAAGUCGUAACAAAGUAAAAAUACUGGAAAGUGUUUUUUAAAAUGAAAUCAUUUGAUGUUUCAUUUACAAUGAAAAUUUUGUUGUUUAACCAUUUUAA